rnacentral:sRNA from 1 species
AAGUAACUCCGGCUGUUGCACCAUGGCGUCCAUGGGGACCCUCGCCUUCGAUGAAUAUGGGCGCCCUUUCCUCAUCAUCAAGGAUCAGGACCGCAAGUCCCGUCUUAUGGGACUUGAGGCCCUCAAGUCUCAUAUUAUGGCAGCAAAGGCUGUAGCAAAUACAAUGAGAACAUCACUGGGACCAAAUGGUAAGAGUCCACCAUUCCAUGUUUUUUAGCAAAAGAUUUAAAUCAUAAAACUGUCAAUACAAACCUCUCUACAGAAAGGUGGAGUAUUGAGGGGAGGCAUCUUACUUCCUUAACACAGCCAAAAUUUUUUAGUGUAUUUCAGGUUUCUUAAACAUGGUUAUAAUCGUGUGCAAUUUUAGGUCGGACUUUUUUUUUUUUUUUUUACAUGUAACAUCAUUUCAUUAGCAUUUUCCAAAUCAUAGUUGUCUUUUGAGAUUAAGACUAUACUUAAUGAUGCUCCAUAAUUUUUUGCCAUUUAUGUUAGCCAAUCUAAAAAUGCCUUCAUGCAGCUACUAUUUUGUGUAUGUCACAUUAUUUGUAUAUAAUAAAUUGCAUAG